GCCCACAGUGUAUUGUUAAGUGUUUUGAAAAUUUUCAAAGCAUUUUCCCAAAAUAUGUGUCAAAUAAAAAUUUGUCACCAAAAACCAUUCAAUUAGCUGAAACAGAGAAAGUUGUGGCCAAAAUAAGACUCAACAUUACCCCCUAGUGGACGAAAACGUCCCCAACAACACAUAAGGGUUAAAUUGAUUAUUUGAUUAACAAUUUAAUUAGAUUUAAGUUAUUUAUUUACGACAUCUUUAUGUUUAGCCUAUGUAAAUUCUGCGUGUUUUAACGAGCGCGCGCUGAACAUUGGAGUAGCGUUCAUUCAGAUACAAACACCGGAGCGGAGGGAGUUGCCAUGGAAACGGGGCGACCGACAACACUGGCAAGCUGCAAGCUCCGUUUCUUGCUGCUGUUUUCACUGCUUUCGAUUCUUCCGUGUUUGAUGUUCUUCUGCAUCCCAGAGUCUGAGCAAGCCUCCUGUCCAACAACAUCUCCAAGACACACUGAACCAUACGACUAGCAGGGAAAAACACAUCGUGGACCAAAGAGGAAACUGACAACACACAGACAGACAAGACAGAGAAGGUUGCUUCUGCCUCGUGUGUGAAGACUUCAGAAGAUGCCAGACCUCACAAAGAUUUCAGAUGAUGGCAACUAUAGAUGAACAUGCAAAGCUGCUAAAUAAUUCUUAUAUUGUAAUCAUUGCCCUAAAAGGAAGGAUCUUAUCAGCAAAUCUACUUCACAGCACAUCAGUGAAAGCAGUUGACAGUUACGGAUGGGUGUGUUGGAUCAGGGUCAGAUCUGAAUUCUGAUGGUUUUCUGGGAUGACAGUUGAAGAUGAUCAGAACAUCAGAUGUUGGUCUGGACAGCUGUACCUACAGUACA